AGAUGUUGGGCAAGGAGAUGCUAUUCUUAUUCGUGCUAAGGAUCAGAUAGUGCUUGUUGAUACAGGCGAUGUCCC
rnacentral:tRNA from 1 species